rnacentral:rRNA from 1 species
UACGAGGGGGGCGAGCGUUGUUCGGAAUUAUUGGGCGUAAAGGGUGCGUAGGCGGUUUUGUAAGUCUUAUGUGAAAUCUACAGGCUCAACUUGUAGUCUGCAUGAGAAACUGCAGGGCUUGAGUAUGGGAGAGGUGAGUGGAAUUCCUGGUGUAGCGGUGAAAUGCGUAGAUAUCAGGAGGAACACCUGUGGCGAAAGCGGCUCACUGGACCAUAACUGACGCUGAUGCACGAAAGCCAGGGGAGCAAACGGG